AGUUUUCAAAAUUUAAUACUGUUAAUUUUCUCAUAUCAAUACAUAAAAAUAUACUUCUACAAUAUAAGCCAAUAAAAUCCACAAUGCUCGGCAAGCUUCUGGUGAUGUAGGAAGAUGUAGUACUAGAAAGGAGUCUGAAGUUGUAUUGCUGAAGGACGUUCAAUAAGGGUUGUACAAACUCCUCGGUCCCUUGACUCCACUUGCUUAUUCACAUGCUCCAGUGUCAAUUGAAAUGGUGUUCGUUCAAUUCCUAUUAAAAUUAAGGGGAGAAAACUGUUAUGAAGUACUGUAAUCUAUUUUAAAUUUUCAAGUAAAUAACACCUCCAUCAGUGCUUUCCUGAUAAGUGAGAUAUGAGAAUAGUGAGGUGGAAGGAACUUUCAUGAUAAAAGUCAUUUUUGAGGA
rnacentral:lncRNA from 1 species